GAUGAACGCUGGCGGCGUGCCUAAUACAUGCAAGUCGAGCGAACAGACGAGGAGCUUGCUCCUCUGACGUUAGCGGCGGACGGGUGAGUAACACGUGGAUAACCUACCUAUAAGACUGGGAUAACUUCGGGAAACCGGAGCUAAUACCGGAUAAUAUAUUGAACCGCAUGGUUCAAUAGUGAAAGACGGUUUUGCUGUCACUUAUAGAUGGAUCCGCGCCGCAUUAGCUAGUUGGUAAGGUAACGGCUUACCAAGGCAAUGAUGCGUAGCCGACCUGAGAGGGUGAUCGGCCACACUGGAACUGAGACACGGUCCAGACUCCUACGGGAGGCAGCAGUAGGGAAUCUUCCGCAAUGGGCGAAGGCCUGACGGAGCAACGCCGCGUGAGUGAUGAAGGUCUUCGGAUCGUAAAACUCUGUUAUUAGGGAAGAACAAAUGUGUAAGUAACUAUGCACGUCUUGACGGUACCUAAUCAGAAAGCCACGGCUAACUACGUG
rnacentral:rRNA from 1 species